rnacentral:rRNA from 1 species
CAUGCCGUAAACGAUGAUUACUAGGUGUUGGGGGAUUGACCCCCUCAGUGCCGCAGUUAACACAAUAAGUAAUCCACCUGGGGAGUACGACCGCAAGGUUGAAACUCAAAGGAAUUGACGGGGGCCCGCACAAGCAGUGGAGUAUGUGGUUUAAUUCGAAGCAACGCGAAGAACCUUACCAGGUCUUGACAUCCGAUGCAUAGCACAGAGAUGUGUGAAAUCCUUCGGGACAUCGAGACAGGUGG